rnacentral:rRNA from 1 species
UACAGAGGGGGCAAGCGUUAUUCGGAAUUAUUGGGCGUAAAGGGCGCGUAGGCGGCCUGGCAAGUGGAAGGUGAAAUCCCUCGGCUUAACCGAGGAACUGCCCUCCAAACUGCUUGGCUUGAGUCCGGGAGAGGUGAGUGGAAUUCCCAGUGUAGCGGUGAAAUGCGUAGAUAUUGGGAGGAACACCAGUGGCGAAGGCGGCUCACUGGACCGGAACUGACGCUGAGGCGCGAAGGCGUGGGGAGCGAACGGG